rnacentral:rRNA from 1 species
CCUACGGGGGGCAGCAGUGAGGAAUAUUGGUCAAUGGACGAGAGUCUGAACCAGCCAAGUAGCGUGAAGGAUGACUGCCCUAUGGGUUGUAAACUUCUUUUAUAUGGGAAUAAAAUGUUCCACGUGUGGGAUUUUGUAUGUACCAUAUGAAUAAGGAUCGGCUAACUCCGUGCCAGCAGCCGCGGUAAUACGGAGGAUCCGAGCGUUAUCCGGAUUUAUUGGGUUUAAAGGGAGCGUAGGUGGAUUGUUAAGUCAGUUGUGAAAGUUUGCGGCUCAACCGUAAAAUUGCAGUUGAAACUGGCAGUCUUGAGGACAGUAGAGGUGGGCGGAAUUCGGGGUGUAGCGGUGAAAUGCUUAGAUAUCACGAAGAACUCCGAUUGCGAAGGCAGCUCACUGGACUGAAACUGACACUGAGGCUCGAAAGUGUGGGGAUCAAACAGGAUUAGAUACCCCAGUAGUC